rnacentral:lncRNA from 1 species
AAAUAAUUACUACAACAAAGUAGCUCUGGAAUUAUUUCACAAGGAAUGAACAAAAAAAGAAUCUGUUCAGAAGGAAAAAAGAAUCAUAGCCUAUUCAUACAUGGCUGCAUAUAUAGAUUCCUAGCCAAAAAUUACAGCCUAUACUAAUACACGACUCGAUAUCAGGAUCAUCAAGAUAAAUAGUUUCCUUACAAAAUCAUGUACGGUUGUACAGCUAAUUAAACAUCUAAAUAAAGAUAAAGGAUACACCUUCUUUCCAUCUGACAAUCUCCGAUAAUCAAGGAGUUUAUGUCUGUAAUUGGGAGGAUCUUGUGAAAUGUCUAAUCUAGUUGUCAUUGCCUUCCUCUCUAGAUAACCGGGUGUAGUACUGAUUGUUCACAAAUUCUGUAGUAUAGAGUUAAUAUGCAGUAUAUCGAGAGUACGAUCAAACAGAAACAUUAUUCACAAGAAAAGGAAAGAGUGUCCAACAUUGCAAAUAAAAGAUAGACCACGCAGAAAAUCAAAAGCUUGUAGACAUAAACACAAAUAGUUAGUACCCAAACCUUAGGAUCGGAAAUGACUUAGAUUUAUUUUGUUUCCUUAGAUUGCAAGGAGCAUAUCAUUAGAUUACUUAGUACUGCUCAUAAAAAAAGUCCAAGUGCAAGUACUCACAGGCCUGCAGGCAACCAAUAGUGUCUCCAGUUGUACUCCUCGGUGAAUCCGGACAUUGGGCAGGUUGUCGAUGGACGCCCUCGGCAUAUGACGUUGGUGCCCUCGAUCUCGACGAGUCCACUACAUUCACCCGACCAUCAAUAUUUUGCAUCAAAUCUCAGAGAAUCCUAUAAAUACAUAUAUCAGGAAGUUGUUCUAAGAGUAUAGUAACAUAAUCCAACAAUUAGUAUAUUGACAACACUAUUGCUUGAAGGGUCCAAUCAGAAGCUCCUAAUUAUUUUAGUCUGCCAGGCAAUCUCUAUGUACUACAAUCUUCAAGCAUGUUCUGUAACCAACUUAUUCACUGAUAAUGAGAAGGAAGAACUAUCUGAGUAGCUGAGGAGGGCAGCGAGUAGGAUGGCUUGUAUAC